rnacentral:rRNA from 1 species
UCUGGUGACGAUGGCGAAGUGGACACACCUGUUCCCAUCCCGAACACAGCAGUUAAGCACUUCUGCGCCGAAGAUAGUGGGGUUUCCUGCGAAAAUAGGUCGUUGCCAGGC